rnacentral:rRNA from 1 species
UACGUAGGGUGCGAGCGUUAAUCGGAAUUACUGGGCGUAAAGCGUGCGCAGGCGGUGAUGUAAGACAGUUGUGAAAUCCCCCGGGCUCAACCUGGGAAUUGCAUCUGUGACUGCAUCGCUAGAGUACGGUAGAGGGGGAUGGAAUUCCGCGUGUAGCAGUGAAAUGCGUAGAUAUGCGGAGGAACACCGAUGGCGAAGGCAAUCCCCUGGACCUGUACUGACGCUCAGGCACGAAAGCGUGGGGAGCAAACGAGG